AUUUCACUGAGGACGGUCUGCAACCAAACAUCAAUCAUCUUGAAUCCAUGUGAACGGACAUAACCAGAUUGUUCAUCGCUAAACAAAACAGACAAAGUAAAUAUGCUGUGGAAUCUGUUUCUUCUUACUGUGAUGGCUCAGAAUCAUCUGAUGGUUUGUCAGCUCUAUCAGUAUCACUAUUUUAGUGAGGAAAAAACUUGGAAAGAAGCUCAGCAGUACUGCAGAGAGAAUCACACUGACCUGGCCACAGUGAAUAACAUGAAGGACAUGGAGGGACUCAUCAGUAUCUCACUAAGAGGCAUAAAUGAAGCUUGGAUUGGUCUGUAUGAUCAAACAAAUGCAGAGAGAUCAUGGCACUGGUCUCUGCCUGAAGUG